UUCGAUGCAACGCGAAGAACCUUACCUGGGCUUGACAUGGUGCUGCAAGCGCACGGAAACGUGUGACCUUCGAGGGUGCACCACAGAUGCUGCAUGGCUGUCGUCAGCUCGUGUCGUGAGAUGUUGGGUUAAGUCCCGCAACGAGCGCAACCCCGUGGUGUGUUGCCAGCAUUAAGUUGGGGACUCACACCAGACUGCCGGUGACAAAUCCGGAGGAAGGUGGGGAUGACGUCAAGUCAUCAUGGCUCUUACGCCCAGGGCUAGAAACGUGCUACAAUGGCGCAUACAAUGGGUUGCAAGACCGCGAGGUGGAGCGAAUCUCAUCAAAGUGCGUCUAAGUUCGGAUCGCAGUCUGCAACUCGACUGCGUGAAGGCGGAGUUGCUAGUAAUCCGGAUCAGCAUGCCGCGGUGAUACGUUCCCGG
rnacentral:rRNA from 1 species